rnacentral:ncRNA from 1 species
CUACGGACUUGAUUGUAUUGAGCCUUGGUAUGGAAACCUGCUAAGUGGUAACUUCCAAAUUCAGAGAAACCCUGGAAUUAAAAAAGGGCAAUCCUGAGCCAAAUCCGUGUUUUGAGAAGGGAUUCUCGAACUAGAAUACAAAGGAAAAGGAUAGGUGCAGAGACUCAAUGGAAGCUGUUCUAACGAAUCGAGUUAAUUACGUUGUGUUGUUAGUGGAAUUCCUUCUAAUUCUAAAUUAGAGAAAGAGGG